rnacentral:lncRNA from 1 species
AAUUGAUGCCAACAAUAUCAACUCAUCAGUUUGGUCAGCGAAGACAUCAUCAUUAGCAAUGUGGUACAAGUUCCAUGACAUACUCAAGUGCCAUAACGAACCGAUGAUAAUCAGAACACGCUUUAUCUGAGUGAAUAUUUUCUCAUAUUCUAUCUACAUUUGUUUUGUGUCUCGAGGUGCUUCGUUAUCGAAGAGGCUAUGACUGACAUUAAACUAUUGUUCCAUGUAUCCUCUUGUUCUUU